UCCAUGAAAACAACAUCUGAAAAUAAUAACCUUAUAAUAUCAUGAAAUCAUAUACACUUUAUAACACAACAUAUAUCACACCUUUACAUUUCAAUCAUCAGGAAACAGAUUUCCUCUUUUACCAGCCUACUAGUAUCCCUGGGGAUCCAUAGGGGGUUCCUUCUACACGUGAACCCUUAACAUUUAUAACCUGAUUCCAAGGCCGUCCCCAUACCCCGUCCGGUAUGGGCUCCUAAACCAUGAACCUCAAUACUCUUUCCGAUAUGAGGGUGAAACGGGCCGUCCCCAUACCCAGUCCGGUAUGGGCGCCAAAACACAUAAGGUCUCCAUACCCCGUCUGGUAUGAGAGACCACGUUCCCGGUAGGGUUCCCUACGGACCCGGUCCGUCCACCAUCUCUCAAGAUAUCUAGUCAGGCUGUCCACAUUAUCCACUUAUCAAUUCACAUAACCUUUUUACCUUUUUCCUUAAUCUCAUUCAUCCAAUCAUACAAAAUAUGUAAACCAGUAAUUGACACCAAAUAAGACAAUACAGUAUCGGGUUCACAAUAUUACAUGCAUACGAGACCAUAACAUAAUUACAUCAAACAACAUGCUGCAUUUAAUACUGGAAAUUAAAUCAAAUAAUAACAGACCAAUACUGUAUCAGACUCGGGAUUCAUUGGCAACCUUAAUCAAUUAUACAUCUAUAAAGUCACACAGUGCAGUUUAAUUAUUUAUCUAGCUUUAAUACCGUGAUAGGAAAUAGGGUGAGGGGUCCUUACUUAUUUUGGGGUCUGAAUACAGCUCUACAGUGCGCCUACAGGCUGUCCCUAAUUUUCUUGAAUUUUUUUUAGAAAACUGAAACGCACUACCGGUACCUGCACAUGUCCCAAAAAAUCCCAAAUCAGACCUAGGGCCCCUUUCGGCCAAUAUCACAACUCCGGCACGGCGGCUCCGCCGUGCUCCGGCGUCGGCGCCGCUGCAAGUGGCGACGAUUCACCUCGGGUUGGCCGUUUUCGGCUGAAUUCGGCCACACUUGCAUCGGUCCCU
rnacentral:lncRNA from 1 species